UAAUGACCACAUUAAGGAAAACACAGCAUAUUGUGUUGAAACUGAUCCUUUGACAUGGCUUGACAAAUGUGACAAUGUCACAAUGCCCCUUCGGAUGGGGUAGGCCCUAAUAGUUAUUAGGAAAAGUCUAAACAGAAUCCAUGGAAUGUCCCAACUCUGACCUUGGUUAAGGUAAGGGUUAAGGUUAAGGUAGGGGUUAAGGUUAGGGUUUAGGGUAGGGACGUCCCAAGGAUCACGGAUAACACUAACCCUAGUUAUUAUGGGGUAACAUUUUGACAUGGAAACACACUUAGGAAAUAAUAUUUGUUGCCAAUGAAGCUAGAGCUCAUUGGCUACCCAUAUUCAACAUUGAUAUCGUAGUUUGAAAUGUCAGUAGAUUUCUAACUGAUGUACUGAUUGCGACACUGAGGUCUUCCCUGAGGAGCAAGCAAAGGAGACCCAGAAGAAAGAGAAGAAGAAGAGCAUCCAUCCAGCUGUGGCGGCCCUGCAGCUGUUCACUCUCUUCUGCUGUGGUGGGAAAGUCAAGCUGAGGAAGGACCAGGACAACGAUAAUGCAUCUGAUACUGGUUCAGACUUGUCUGGAGGUGAUGUUACAACCAAAAGGGUCAAGGACAAGAGAAAUGGAAAGGAAAAUCAAAGGACACCCCGGCAAGUGAAGACCCCUGUGGAGGAAAUUUACAUAAGACCUGACUCUCCGACUCUACCACGUGCCCACAGCUCCCUCUCUCAAUUUUCCCUGGCUCGGAACCUGGCCAUCCUCCCGCUGGAGUGGCAGCUACCCGGAG
rnacentral:lncRNA from 13 species